CCUACGGGUGGCUGCAGUGAGGAAUUUUGCGCAAUGGCCGCAAGGCUGACGCAGCAACGCCGCGUGGGUGAUGAAGGCCUUCGGGUCGUAAAGCCCUGUCAGGUGGGAAGAAAGGCCUGGAGAGGAAAGGUUUCAGGUUUGACGGUACCACCAGAGGAAGCACCGGCUAACUCCGUGCCAGCAGCCGCGGUAAUACGGAGGGUGCGAGCGUUAUUCGGAAUUACUGGGCGUAAAGCGCGUGUAGGCGGGGGGACAAGUCUGAUGUGAAAGCCCUGGGCUUAACCUGGGAAGCGCAUUGGAAACUGUUUUUCUUGAGUACUGGAGAGGAAGGGGGAAUUCCCGGUGUAGAGGUGAAAUUCGUAGAGAUCGGGAGGAAUACCAGUGGCGUAGGCGCCCUUCUGGACGGUAACUGACGCUGAGACGCGAAAGCGUGGGGAGCAAACAGGAUUAGAUACCCCAGUAGUC
rnacentral:rRNA from 1 species